GAUGAACGCUGGCGGCGUGCCUAAUACAUGCAAGUCGAGCGAACAGAUGAGGAGCUUGCUCCUCUGCCGUUAGCGGCGGACGGGUGAGUAACACGUGGAUAACCUACCUAUAUGACUGGGAUAACUUCGGGAAACCGGAGCUAAUACCGGAUAAUAUAUUGAACCGCAUGGAUCAAUAGUGAAAGACGGUUUUGCUGUCACUUAUAGAUGGAUCCGCGCCGCAUUAGCUAGUUGGUAAGGUAACGGCUUACCAAGGCGACGAUGCGUAGCCGACCUGAGAGGGUGAUCGGCCACACUGGAACUGAGACACGGUCCAGACUCCUACGGGAGGCAGCAGUAGGGAAUCUUCCGCAAUGGGCGAAAGCCUGACGGAGCAACGCCGCGUGAGUGAUGAAGGUCUUCGGAUCGUAAAACUCUGUUAUUAGGGAAGAACAAAUGUGUAAGUAACUAUGCACGUCUUGACGGUACCUAAUCAGAAAGCCACGGCUAACUACGUG
rnacentral:rRNA from 1 species